rnacentral:misc_RNA from 1 species
UUUCCGUAGGUGAACCUGCGGAAGGAUCAUUAUUGUAUAACCGAGGCGCUAGGGCUAUCGCUGACCCGAAUGGCCAUGCACGCACGAGUGCCCUGACACACACCCAUCCCCCCCCUAUGUGCACCACCGCGACUGUCCCCCUUUGGCGUGUUCGGCGGGGGGCUUACGUUUUAACUCAAUCUCUGUAUGCAGUGUAAAAUGUAUUUUUUGUUUUUGUGAACACAAAAUCAAUACCACUUUCAACAAUGGAUCUCUUGUCUCUCGCAUCGAUGAAGAACC